AGUGGCUGUUCUGUCACUUGGCGGGCUACUACCCCAUCCUGCAGGUCCUCUUCCACAACAAGCCCCCCUCCCUCCACACCCCCACCAGUAAACAGCGAGGGCGGACCACGCGACCCUCCCCCACCUCGUACCGCGGCUCCAAGUUCUCCACCGCCAGGACCGUGGGCAAGACUGCAGCUCCUCCUUCCCCUGGGGCGCUAUAGCGAAGUCUGGUCGACCCAAUAUAUGCUUAUAUACUUAUGUAUAGGCCUGAACUAUACUUAUAUAUACAGUGGCAACCAAGAAGCCGUGCUCUGGGGCGCUAUAGCGAAGUCUGGUCAACCCAGAAUAUGUUUCUAUACUUAUGAAUAGGCUUAAACUAUACUUAUUUUAUUGUGUUUAAAACAUAGCAAUAGGGCAAAAAGGUAACUUUUGGGGUAGUGGGGCUCGCAUUUUUUAAUUUUACAGUAAUUCGUAUGGAUAAUGUAUACAGUGGCACACAGGAAACGACACGAAAAGUAACACUGAAUGUGUAGUUGCCGCAGCAGGGGCGGUGGAGCACAGCUUGGUUUUCCCUCAGUAAAUGUAUAAAUUAUGUUUAGUAUUAUACAUGUACGAUGUAUAUUUUAUAAGUAUUCAUGUGCAAGUCUGGUUAAUAAUCAUAGAAUAUUUUUCAUCAAUGAAUUUCUUGCUCGUUUUUUCCAACGAUCCGAACGAUGUUGGGCAGAUCGUUUGCAAUUAUUCAUAUGAAGAUGUAGCCGCAAUAAAGAAACGGCAAGAAAACCUGCAGUUGAAUAUUAUGUUUAACCAGAAGUAAAGUGCAAUCGAUUGCUUUCGGUACGAUUUAAUUUUUGCAAUUAAUUUUUUGCGCUAUUGACGAUUCAUAUUGAAAUGUUUGUUGUUGUUGUUUGCAACAUCGAAACUUGAACGCUUGGUGGGUAGAAACUGUCUUGUUUUUAUUAUAGUUAAUGCAUCGGAAACGCGCUAGUUUACGAAUUAGAGCUAUUCCACUGCUGUAAAACUUUGCAAUAACUCAAUAAACGAAUGUUCAAA
rnacentral:lncRNA from 1 species